rnacentral:rRNA from 1 species
GACGAACGCUGGCGGCGUGCCUAAUACAUGCAAGUAGAACGCUGAAGCGAGGAGCUUGCUCUUCUUGGGUGACUUGCGAACGGGUGAGUAACGCGUAGGUAACCUGCCUUGUAGCAGGGGAUAACUAUUGGAAACGAUAGCUAAUACCGCAUAACAAUGGAUGACACAUGUCUUUUAUUUGAAAGGGGCAAUUGCUCCACUACAAGAUGGACCUGCGUUGUAUUAGCUAGUAGGUGAGGUAAUGGCCCACCUAGGCGACGAUACAUAGCCGGCCUGGGCAGGUGAACGGCCACACUGGGAAUGAGACACGGCCCAGACCCCUACGGGAGGCAGCAGUAGGGGAUCUUCGGCAAUGGGGGCAACCCUGACCGAGCAACGCCGCGUGAGUGAAGAAGGUUUUCGGAUCGUAAAGGUCCGUUGUACGUCAAGAAAGGGUGUGAGAGUGGAAAGUUCACACUGUGACGGUAGCUUACCAGAAAGGGACGGCUAACUACGUG